rnacentral:rRNA from 1 species
GAUGAACGCUGGCGGCGUGCCUAAUACAUGCAAGUCGAGCGAACAGACGAGGAGCCUGCUCCUCUGACGUUAGCAGCGGACGGGUGAGUAACACGUGGAUAACCUACCUAUAAGACUGGGAUAACUUCGGGAAACCGGAGCUAAUACCGGAUAAUAUAUUGAACCGCAUGGUUCAAUAGUGAAAGACGGUUUUGCUGUCACUUAUAGAUGGAUCCGCGCCGCAUUAGCUAGUUGGUAAGGUAACGGCUUACCAAGGCAACGAUGCGUAGCCGACCUGAGAGGGUGAUCGGCCACACUGGAACUGAGACACGGUCCAGACUCCUACGGGAGGCAGCAGUAGGGAAUCUUCCGCAAUGGGCGAAAGCCUGACGGAGCAACGCCGCGUGAGUGAUGAAGGUCUUCGGAUCGUAAAACUCUGUUAUUAGGGAAGAACAAAUGUGUAAGUAACUAUGCACGUCUUGACGGUACCUAAUCAGAAAGCCACGGCUAACUACGUG